rnacentral:rRNA from 1 species
AGAGUUUGAUCCUGGCUCAGGACGAACGCUGGCGGCGCGCCUAACACAUGCAAGUCGAACGAGCGAGAGAGAGCUUGCUUUCUCGAGCGAGUGGCGAACGGGUGAGUAACGCGUGAGGAACCUGCCUCAAAGAGGGGGACAACAGUUGGAAACGACUGCUAAUACCGCAUAAGCCCACGGCUCGGCAUCGAGCAGAGGGAAAAGGAGCAAUCCGCUUUGAGAUGGCCUCGCGUCCGAUUAGCUAGUUGGUGAGGUAAUGGCCCACCAAGGCGACGAUCGGUAGCCGGACUGAGAGGUUGAACGGCCACAUUGGGACUGAGACACGGCCCAGACUCCUACGGGAGGCAGCAGUGGGGAAUAUUGCACAAUGGGGGAAACCCUGAUGCAGCGACGCCGCGUGGAGGAAGAAGGUCUUCGGAUUGUAAACUCCUGUUGUUGAGGAAGAUAAUGACGGUACUCAACAAGGAAGUGACGGCUAACUACGUGCCAGCAGCCGCGGUAAAACGUAGGUCACAAGCGUUGUCCGGAAUUACUGGGUGUAAAGGGAGCGCAGGCGGGAAGACAAGUUGGAAGUGAAAUCCAUGGGCUCAACCCAUGAACUGCUUUCAAAACUGUUUUUCUUGAGUAGUGCAGAGGUAGGCGGAAUUCCCGGUGUAGCGGUGGAAUGCGUAGAUAUCGGGAGGAACACCAGUGGCGAAGGCGGCCUACUGGGCACCAACUGACGCUGAGGCUCGAAAGUGUGGGUAGCAAACAGGAUUAGAUACCCUGGUAGUCCACACCGUAAACGAUGAUUACUAGGUGUUGGAGGAUUGACCCCUUCAGUGCCGCAGUUAACACAAUAAGUAAUCCACCUGGGGAGUACGACCGCAAGGUUGAAACUCAAAGGAAUUGACGGGGGCCCGCACAAGCAGUGGAGUAUGUGGUUUAAUUCGACGCAACGCGAAGAACCUUACCAAGUCUUGACAUCCCUUGACGAUGCUGGAAACAGUAUUUCUCUUCGGAGCAAGGAGACAGGUGGUGCAUGGUUGUCGUCAGCUCGUGUCGUGAGAUGUUGGGUUAAGUCC